rnacentral:rRNA from 1 species
GAGUUUGAUCGUGGCUCAGAACGAACGCUGGCGGCAGGCCUAACACAUGCAAGUCGAACGAGCCGAGACCUUCGGGUCUCGAUGCUAGUGGCGCACGGGUGAGUAACGCGUGGGAACGUACCCUUUAGUACGGAAUAACGCAGGGAAACUUGCGCUAAUACCGUAUACGCCCUCCGGGGGAAAGAUUUAUCGCUAAAGGAUCGGCCCGCGUCUGAUUAGGUAGUUGGUGAGGUAACGGCUCACCAAGCCGACGAUCAGUAGCUGGUCUGAGAGGAUGAUCAGCCACACUGGGACUGAGACACGGCCCAGACUCCUACGGGAGGCAGCAGUGGGGAAUAUUGGACAAUGGGCGAAAGCCUGAUCCAGCCAUGCCGCGUGAGUGAAGAAGGCCUUC